rnacentral:lncRNA from 1 species
GCAGAAUAAGGACAAUAAUUUUUCAAGGUUCUUAUGUGCCUGCAGUGAUUUCAGUGGGGAUUAAAGUUUAAAUGCAGACAUGUUAUGUCCCAGUGUAUAUUUAGGGAUUAAAAUUUUUAAGUAAAUAUUUGCCAAAUAUUGCAAAUGAGGAAUAUGGAAGAAUGAAAGGAAGUUUUUUCUCUGCAAUGAAGGCAUGCAUAGUUGUUUAGCUUGUCCCAAACAUGGGUUUGUAAAAGCCUUUUUCAACAAUAUGCCAUUGUAAAGUCCAGAUACAUCACUUCCAAUGCAGGAAAAAAAAAAUAAAAAUAAAGGGAAUUAUGUAGAUUUGUAUUUUUAGAGACUUCUUUUUCAUUUCCCCUUGCUGGGAAGGCCAGGUGCAUUGGUUACAAUGAGCCUACCAAGGCAGGGCUCAGAGGGAGCUGUAAAAAAUGACAUGCUAAUCCAUACUUCUUUGAGCAUAAACUUGUCGUGGUUUUAAAGCCUGUUAUUUUGGGACAUUCCAGACCUGAAAGUGAGUGCUGGAAAUUAACUUUUUUUUUUUUUUUUUUUUUUUCCCCAGAAGUAUAAGAUGUCAUCUGAAAAACAGUGGCUCAUGAAACUAUGGACUUUGAGGUCAUAUGGAAAAUUUUGUGCCUGACUGGGACACUCAUGGUUAAAGACAGAGAUAUAUCCAAGGUGUCUCUGUGUUGUGGUGUGGUGAUGUCCAGGAACUUGAAACUCUGCUAUGGCUGAGUCCACAGCCUGAAUGGCUGUAAGAAGCAUGGUACAAAAUGGUCCACCACUAUUACAGGAAUAUUCACAUCAGCAUGAAGGAAUUUAAUAUCAAUCUGAAUUACAAGAGAAGAAAGGAGGCACAGCGAAGAAACAGAAUGGACCAUGCAUAAGGAAGGGAACCCUGUACCACACAGGAAUGACAUUUCUGCCUUCAAGCUCUUUUCUAUUUCUCCUUGUUCCUCCAAACCUACUCAUCUAUAGCUUCAUUUUAUUUUAUCAUUACCCUGCCAGAAACAGCAAGAAUUGCCUUCAGAUGGGGCACAACACAUGCUUGUGUACUUGA